rnacentral:rRNA from 1 species
AAGGUUAAGCCUCACGGUUCAUUAGUACCGGUUAGCUCAACGCAUCGCUGCGCUUACACACCCGGCCUAUCAACGUCGUCGUCUUCAACGUUCCUUCAGGACCCUUAAAGGGUCAGGGAGAACUCAUCUCGGGGCAAGUUUCGUGCUUAGAUGCUUUCAGCACUUAUCUCUUCCGCAUUUAGCUACCGGGCAGUGCCAUUGGCAUGACAACCCGAACACCAGUGAUGCGUCCACUCCGGUCCUCUCGUACUAGGAGCAGCCCCCUCAGUUCUCCAGCGCCCACGGCAGAUAGGGACCGAACUGUCUCACGACGUUCUAAACCCAGCUCGCGUACCACUUUAAAUGGCGAACAGCCAUACCCUUGGGACCUACUUCAGCCCCAGGAUGUGAUGAGCCGACAUCGAGGUGCCAAACACCGCCGUCGAUAUGAACUCUUGGGCGGUAUCAGCCUGUUAUCCCCGGAGUACCUUUUAUCCGUUGAGCGAUGGCCCUUCCAUUCAGAACCACCGGAUCACUAUGACCUGCUUUCGCACCUGCUCGCGCCGUCACGCUCGCAGUCAAGCUGGCUUAUGCCAUUGCACUAACCUCCUGAUGUCCGACCAGGAUUAGCCAACCUUCGUGCUCCUCCGUUACUCUUUAGGAGGAGACCGCCCCAGUCAAACUACCCACCAGACACUGUCCGCAACCCGGAUCACGGGUCCACGUUAGAACAUCAAACAUUAAAGGGUGGUAUUUCAAGGUCGGCUCCAUGCAGACUGGCGUCCACACUUCAAAGCCUCCCACCUAUCCUACACAUCAAGGCUCAAUGUUCAGUGUCAAGCUAUAGUAAAGGUUCACGGGGUCUUUCCGUCUUGCCGCGGGUACACUGCAUCUUCACAGCGAGUUCAAUUUCACUGAGUCUCGGGUGGAGACAGCCUGGCCAUCAUUACGCCAUUCGUGCAGGUCGGAACUUACCCGACAAGGAAUUUCGCUACCUUAGGACCGUUAUAGUUACGGCCGCCGUUUACCGGGGCUUCGAUCAAGAGCUUCGCUUGCGCUAACCCCAUCAAUUAACCUUCCGGCACCGGGCAGGCGUCACACCGUAUACGUCCACUUUCGUGUUUGCACAGUGCUGUGUUUUUAAUAAACAGUUGCAGCCAGCUGGUAUCUUCGACUGAUUUCAGCUCCACGAGCAAGUCGCUUCACCUACGUAUCAGCGUGCCUUCUCCCGAAGUUACGGCACCAUUUUGCCUAGUUCCUUCACCCGAGUUCUCUCAAGCGCCUUGGUAUUCUCUACCUGACCACCUGUGUCGGUUUGGGGUACGAUUUGAUGUUACCUGAUGCUUAGAGGCUUUUCCUGGAAGCAGGGCAUUUGUUGCUUCAGCACCGUAGUGCCUCGUCAUCACGCCUCGGCCUUGAUUUUCCGGAUUUGCCUGGAAAACCAGCCUACACGCUUAAACCGGGACAACCGUCGCCCGGCCAACAUAGCCUUCUCCGUCCCCCCUUCGCAGUAACACCAAGUACAGGAAUAUUAACCUGUUUCCCAUCGACUACGCCUUUCGGCCUCGCCUUAGGGGUCGACUCACCCUGCCCCGAUUAACGUUGGACAGGAACCCUUGGUCUUCCGGCGAGCGGGCUUUUCACCCGCUUUAUCGUUACUUAUGUCAGCAUUCGCACUUCUGAUACCUCCAGCAUACCUCACAGCACACCUUCACAGGCUUACAGAACGCUCCCCUACCCAACAACGCAUAAGCGUCGCUGCCGCAGCUUCGGUGCAUGGUUUAGCCCCGUUACAUCUUCCGCGCAGGCCGACUCGACCAGUGAGCUAUUACGCUUUCUUUAAAAUGAUGGCUGCUUCUAAGCCAACAUCCUGGCUGUCUGGGCCUUCCCACAUCGUUUCCCACUUAACCAUGACUUUGGGACCUUAGCUGGCGGUCUGGGUUGUUUCCCUCUUCACGACGGACGUUAGCACCCGCCGUGUGUCUCCCGUAAUAACAUUCUCCGGUAUUCGCAGUUUGCAUCGGGUUGGUAAGUCGGGAUGACCCCCUUGCCGAAACAGUGCUCUACCCCCGGAGAUGAAUUCACGAGGCGCUACCUAAAUAGCUUUCGGGGAGAACCAGCUAUCUCCCGGUUUGAUUGGCCUUUCACCCCCAGCCACAAGUCAUCCGCUAAUUUUUCAACAUUAGUCGGUUCGGUCCUCCAGUUAGUGUUACCCAACCUUCAACCUGCCCAUGGCUAGAUCACCGGGUUUCGGGUCUAUACCCUGCAACUUAACGCCCAGUUAAGACUCGGUUUCCCUUCGGCUCCCCUAUUCGGUUAACCUUGCUACAGAAUAUAAGUCGCUGACCCAUUAUACAAAAGGUACGCAGUCACACGCCUAAGCGUGCUCCCACUGCUUGUACGUACACGGUUUCAGGUUCUUUUUCACUCCCCUCGCCGGGUUCUUUUCGCCUUUCCCUCACGGUACUGGUUCACUAUCGGUCAGUCAGGAGUAUUUAGCCUUGGAGGAUGGUCCCCCCAUAUUCAGACAGGAUACCACGUGUCCCGCCCUACUCAUCGAGCUCACAGUAUGUGUAUUUUUGUGUACGGGGCUGUCACCCUGUAUCGCACGCCUUUCCAGACGCUUCCACUAACACACACACUGAUUCAGGCUCUGGGCUGCUCCCCGUUCGCUCGCCGCUACUGGGGGAAUCUCGGUUGAUUUCUUUUCCUCGGGGUACUUAGAUGUUUCAGUUCCCCCGGUUCGCCUCAUUAACCUAUGGAUUCAGUUAAUGAUAGUGUGACGAAUCACACUGGGUUUCCCCAUUCGGAAAUCGCCGGUUAUAACGGUUCAUAUCACCUUACCGACGCUUAUCGCAGAUUAGCACGUCCUUCAUCGCCUCUGACUGCCAGGGCAUCCACCGUGUACGCUUAGUCGCUUAA